rnacentral:rRNA from 1 species
AAUGAACGUUGGCGGCGUGGAUUAGGCAUGCAAGUCGUGCGGAAAGGCCCCGCAAGGGGUGCUCGAGCGGCGUAAGGGAGAGUAAUGUGUGGAUACCUACCCUGGGGUUGGGGAUAGCUGCGGGAAACUGCAAUUAAUACCCGAUGAUGUCUCCGGACCAAAGGUGUGAUUCCGCCCUUGGAGGGGUCCACAUCCUAUCAGCUUGGUGGGGAGGUAAUGGCGCACCAAGGCUAUGACGGGUACGGGGUGUGAGAGCAUGUUCCCGCUCACUGGGACUGAGACACUGCCCAGACACCUACGGGUGGCUGCAGUCGAGAAUCUUCGGCAAUGGGCGCAAGCCUGACCGAGCGACGCCGCGUGCGGGAUGGAGGCCUUCGGGUUGUAAACCGCUGUCAGUGGGGAGGAAAGUUUUGAGGGUAAUCUCUCAGGAUUGACCUAUCCGCAGAGGAAGGGUGGGCUAAGCUCGUGCCAGCAGCCGCAGUAA